GCUGCUGUCCAACCUGCACUCGCUUGGGAAC
rnacentral:piRNA from 1 species